GGCGGACGGCUGAGUAACGCGUGGGAAUCUGCCCUUUGGUUCGGAAUAACUCAGGGAAACUUGAGCUAAUACCGGAUGAUGACUUCGGUCCAAAGAUUUAUCGCCAAGGGAUGAGCCCGCGUAAGAUUAGCUAGUUGGUGGGGUAAAGGCCUACCAAGGCUACGAUCUUUAGCUGGUCUGAGAGGAUGAUCAGCCACACUGGGACUGAGACACGGCCCAGACUCCUACGGGAGGCAGCAGUGGGGAAUAUUGGACAAUGGGCGAAAGCCUGAUCCAGCAAUGCCGCGUGAGUGAUGAAGGCCUUAGGGUUGUAAAGCUCUUUUACCCGGGAUGAUAAUGACAGUACCGGGAGAAUAAGCUCCGGCUAACUCCGUGCCAGCCGCCGCGG
rnacentral:rRNA from 1 species